rnacentral:rRNA from 1 species
GUCGGUGAGGAAUGCUACCUGGUUGAUCCUGCCAGUA